AGAACGAACGCUGGCGGCAUGCCUAACACAUGCAAGUCGAACGCUCUUGAGGCUUCGGUUUCAAGGGAGUGGCGCACGGGUGAGUGGCGCGUGGGAACCUGCCCUGUUGUGGGGGAUAACCGAGGGAAACUUCGGCUAAUACCGCAUGCGCCCGGGGAAACCCGGGAAAGAUUUAUCGCAGCAGGAGGGGCCCGCGUCGGAUUAGGUAGUUGGUAGGGUAACGGCCUACCAAGCCUUUGAUCCGUAGCUGGUCUGAGAGGAUGAUCAGCCACACUGGGACUGAGACACGGCCCAGACACCUACGGGUGGCAGCAGUCGAGAAUUUUUCUCAAUGGGGGAAACCCUGAAGGAGCGACGCCGCGUGGAGGAUGAAGGUCUUCGGAUUGUAAACUCCUGUCAUUUGGGAACAAGGUGCGCGCGUUAACUGCGCGCGCAUUGAUAGUACCAGAAGAGGAAGAGACGGCUAACUCUGUGCCAGCAGCCGC
rnacentral:rRNA from 1 species